GACGAACGCUGCGGCGUGCUAAUACAUGCAAGUAGAACGCACAGGAUGCACGUAGUUUACUACACCGUAUUCUGUGAGUUGCGAACGGGUGAGUAACGCGUAGGUAACCUGCCUGGUAGCGGGGGAUAACUAUUGGAAACGAUAGCUAAUACCGCAUAAGAACAUUUACUGCAUGGUAGAUGUUUAAAAGGUGCAAAUGCAUCACUACCAGAUGGACCUGCGUUGUAUUAGCUAGUAGGUGAGGUAACGGCUCACCUAGGCGACGAUACAUAGCCGACCCGAGAGGGUGAUCGGCCACACUGGGACUGAGACACGGCCCAGACUCCUACGGGAGGCAGCAGUAGGGAAUCUUCGGCAAUGGGGGGAACCCUGACCGAGCAACGCCGCGUGAGUGAAGAAGGUUUUCGGAUCGUAAAGCUCUGUUGUUAAGGAAGAACGAGUGUGAGAAUGGAAAGUUCAUACUGUGACGGUACUUAACCAAAAGGCGGC
rnacentral:rRNA from 1 species